CCUACGGGGUGCUGCAGUGAGGAAUAUUGGUCAAUGGGCGCGAGCCUGAACCAGCCAAGUAGCGUGAAGGAUGACUGCUCUACGGGUGUUAAACUCCUUUUAUAAAGGAAUAAAGUGAGGCACGUGUGCCUUUUUGUAUGUACUUUAUGAAUAAGGAUCGGCUAACUACGUGCCAGCAGCCGCGGUAAUACGGAGGAUCCGAGCGUUAUCCGGAUUUAUUGGGUUUAAAGGGAGCGUAGAUGGGUUGUUAAGUCAGUUGUGAAAGUUUGCGGCUCAACCGUAAAAGUGCAAUUGAUACUGGCAGCCUUGAGUGCAGUUGAGGUAGGCGGAAUUCGUGGUGUAGCGGUGAAAUGCUUAGAUAUCACGAAGAACACCGAUUGCGAAGGCAGCUUACUAAACUGCCACUGACAUUGAUGCUCGAAAGUGUGGGUAGCAAACAGGAUUAGAUACCCCAGUAGUC
rnacentral:rRNA from 1 species